rnacentral:lncRNA from 1 species
CCCAAAUUCCCCAAUUUCCCUCCCGAUUUCCCGGGAAAAUCCGAGUUCCGCCCCCAGGGACGAAAAUCGGAAGAUUUUUCCCCAUUCCCAAAUCCCUUUAUUUUCUCUUUCCAAUCCGAAUCCCGAAUUUUCCCGCCCGGGGGGAAUCUGGGAAUGUUUUCCCGAGGAAUUCCGCCUCCCAUCCCGAUAAAUUCGGAUUUUUCCCGCCCGAGCAGCUCCGGGAAUGAAUCAAAACCUGGAAAAUUCGGGAUCCAAAUCGCUGAAAUUCCCCCAAAAAAAUCCGGGAGAAGCCUCGGGAUCAACGUCUGGGAUUUUCCCGCUGGGAGAAUUCCCAAAAAACCCAAAAUUUUCAUUUUCCCACCAAAAACUGGGGAGAGGGGCGGGUCCGGCGGAAUUCCCGGGGUUCGGGGAUCCCAAAUCCACCGGGAGCGACCUCGGGGAGGGAACGGGAUUUGGGAUCCCGGGAAAAAUUCUGGGAGGGAAAAACCCCCAAAAGCUAAACCCCCAUUUUGGGGUUAAAUUUGGGAUUUUAGGGUUUAAUUUAGAAUUAUUUGGGUUUAUUUUUGGAAUUAUUGGGGUUUAUUUUGGGGAUUUCGGGGUUUAUUUUGGGAUUUCUGGGGAUUUUUUUGAAUUUUCGGGGGUUUUUUUUGGGAUUCAUUUGGGAUUUUCGGGUUCGUUUUGGGAUUUUUAUCCCUUUUUUCCUGGGAAUUUUGAGGAUUUUCAAUAUUUCCAUCCUCUCUUUAUGGAAAUUACUCAAUUUCUCUCCUUUUCCUACAAAUUUCUCCAUUCAUCCCAAAUAUUUCCAAACAUUCCUAUAAAGCACAGCCGGGAAUUCCCAUUUAGGGCGGGAUUUAAGGGGAAAAGCCCAAAAAUGAGGUCCCAGAGCGCCCCAAAAUCCGAAUUUCUGGAAUUGCGCCCUUCCCACGGCCCCAAAUCCCCGAAAAAUCCGGGGAAAAAUGAGAAAUCGGCUCGGAAAUCCUAAAAAAAUCCCGAAUAUUGGGGGGACACUGAAAUGGAUGUGGAAUAAAUAUUAAAUGCAUAAAAAAUCUCUAUUAAAU